UAGUUACAAAAGCUACCUAGUUCUUGUUAGUUUUCUUCGUUUCCCAUUUGAGUUGUCUUUGAAGCUUAGAUCAUGGCAAAUUUUUAGUCCUUCUUUCUGAGUAAGGCUAACUAAUUCGCCAUAAGUAUAGAGAUCAUAAGGGAUUUGGCCAUUAUGGGCUUCUCUUAUAGUAUUCCUAACUUUUUCACCUAGUAUUUCAA
rnacentral:lncRNA from 1 species